rnacentral:rRNA from 1 species
UACGGAGGGAGCUAGCGUUGUUCGGAAUUACUGGGCGUAAAGAGCACGCAGGCGGUUGUUUAAGUCGAAUGUGAAAGCCCCUGGCUCAACUGGGGAGGGUCAUUCGAUACUGCUCGACUCGAAGGCAGGAGAGGGAAGCGGAAUUCCCGGUGUAGUGGUGAAAUGCGUAGAUAUCGGGAGGAACACCAGUGGCGAAGGCGGCUUUCUGGCCUGUUCUUGACGCUGAGGCGCGAAAGCUAGGGGAGCAAACGGG